CUUCCAGAUCCCCAUCUCUAUCUUAUUCUAUCUCAUCUGCUGGACGUGGCUGCCGGCAGCGGGGAGGACCUCUCUCUCCUAAGCAGGCUGGAGGCACGGAGGAGCAGCUGGACGUGGCCCUCUCCCUCCCGAGGUGGGUGUAAGCGUGGACGAGGAGCUGGACACGACCCUCUCCCUCCGGGCACCCGAGGCGGAUGGCGGCGCGGAUGAGGAGUUGGACACCCUCCUUUCCCUCCCUCCCGAGGCGUAUGGCGGCAUGGAUGGCGGUGCAGAGGAGGAUUUGGGCCCCCUCCUCUCCCUCCCUCUCGAGGCGGGUGGCGGCAUGGAGGAGGAGCUGGACCCCCUCCUCUCCCUCCCUUCCAAGGCAGCAUGUCUGUUGGGAGCCACGCCGCCGCCGGUGGCAAAGAUUACUAGAUCUUAGGUUUGUGCAGGGUGGCUUGCUCGCCGACGAGCUGGAUAAGAAUGGGGCGGCUCGGUAUUCCGCCGAAACCAUCGACAUCAGCUCUGCGAUGGGUGGCUCGCUGCUACGCCGUCGUUCGUGAGAUGGAGGUGCCACCACAUCUUUUUCUUCAUGUUCGCCUACGGAUGCACAGCGGCACCGGAUUUUGCCCCGCGGCCGGCGUGGCGGGUCGCUUCAUAGCUGGCCACGAAGCCAUGCCAGACAAGGCGGUUCGCCCUGGUUUACCCGCGCCGCCCGCCGGCGUGCUACUUCAUACGAUGGCGGCGCUGCGCGGACCUGAUUCUUCAUUCCAUCGGGUCCUAAUCGCUUCUGGCAGUCAUAUGAGUGUGCGUGGUGGUGGUAGUCGCCGGCGGGGCCGGCCUCCUUCUGUGUCACCUCCUCCACUGGCGCGUAGGUGUCGGGUGCACAAGAUGUUGCUGUUGUCGAGCCUCAACUUUGUGAUUUCCAGCCCUUCCGGAGUGUGUCUUUGUAUCAUGAUAGGCUUCCACGUUGUGGGUGUGGCCGUGGCUGUUCUGUUCAGUUUGCAGUUCCUCAUGUUCCGCCUGCAAUUGAGGUGCCUUUGCAUACAUAGGUCUCUUCGCCAUUGGAGGCCGCCGUGCUACAUUUUGUGUCAUGGCCUACGGUUGUCCACAGUCGCCACAUUUGGAAGUCUAUAUUCAGAUUUAGGUUAAUGUCAAAGCCUUCACUUUUUGUUGAUUUGAUAUGUAUCUAUCGUGCAAAGAUUCCUUGUGUGUGUUUUACAUAAAUUUUCUCAAGGUGGUGUGAUGAUCCAGUGAGAGUAACAACUGAAUUUAUGUUUUCAAGGUAUUCUUUCAUUCUCAUGUUCUUACUACUUUUUUCCAAGCUUACUCUAAGGAAAUUUGUGUUUGAGAAAAUUUGAAUUUUUGGAAAAUGACAACAUGUGAGUAAAUACUAAAUGCUACACAUCAUCUCCCUUUUUUCUUUAUUUUAGAAGCAAAUACCUCUUUGGGAAAUGUACAUAGAAAUGGAUAGUAAGUUAAACAAUGUGGUACAUUCAGCUGUAAUUAUGUUGUCUAUUAUUUACAUGUGUUAGACCAAGCUGCAGGUAAUGUUUCUAUUCAGAAACUGCAACUGUAUUACCGGGUCAUCUAGAUAGGUAUUGCAGAUAUAGAUUUAGUUUUGUAAUAACUUUAUUUGAUCUUGCCUUCCUAUUAUAGAAUUUUUCUUUGUCCUGCAAGAUUAAAACUGGCAUGGACAUUCUCCCCGUAGUUUAGUCUGCAGAACAACAUAGACGUGCGAGGAAUAUAUAACUUGGAGUUUUUGAAACCAAUGACAAGGGGAUGCCACAUGGUUUAAGUACUGGAGAUAUCAGAUUGAAGGUUGUCACUUGAUAAAAUGACCGAAUGUAUUUUCUUCAAAUCCAACAAGCUUACCCUAUGUUCUUCAUACGAGAGAUUUUUUGAACCUAAACGUGAUUGUGCUCGGGUCCAGUUUUCCCUUAUCAAAUAUAAUUGAUUAUUAGUGUUCAACUUUCUUGAUCAGAUUUAAUAUAUGGUUAGUUUUAUUGAUUGCACUCUACAACUUAUCUUACUACUCAAAAUUUUGUCAGUAACCUAAUUUCUUAUGUUAAUUCUGCUCAAAACAAUCAUUGCUGAGGUAUAAGUCUUGAAUAUGAGCAUUACUUCACCAGCUGGUAACAUAUAGGUUAUCCAUUAUGUCAUUCCUUUGUUUCUUAAAGCAGUACUAGAAACGAUAGAUCAUAGUAGAUAUGUUCCUCCUGGUAAGCCAAUUCGUAAAGUAGGGACUGAUAUAGAUCCAUUGGUAUUUAUUUUCCCCUGCUCUCCCUCGGUGUAUUCAGUGAUAAAUCCACGGGUUUAUAGCGUCAGAUGGAAAAACAUAGGCCAUUGUCUUGCUUAGUUGAGGUACUCGGCCAUUUUUAUAUAUUUAUCCAUUUGAGUUUUUCACCUUAAUUCUAGAGGUCUUCAAUAUGAUAUCUGUUUGGAGUUCUUCUUUUUGGUGUUUUGUACUUCCAGUGAGAAACAAUUCAAAUUGGCCUACUGUAUUUGUUUGGUAGUAUAUAGAUUCUCUAACAUUUGUUCAAUAUUUCUGCAAUAAGGUUAUCAUCUCUUUUUGGCAUCUCUUUCGUUAGUUCGAUAUUUCUGAAAUAACGUUAUCAUCUCUUUUUGGUGUUUUGCACUUCUUUUGUUGCAAAAUGGCCUCUAAAUCUUCUUAGUAACACAUUUUUUUUUUCCUUCCAUUGAAUUGUUGGCUCAUUCUCAUGCAGGUUGGCUGUCCUAAUGGAAUGCAAUUAAAUGGAUAUCAGUAGCAAAACAAUAGCUCUAUAAUUGCUAAUGUAAUCCUAGAAUCAAUCUUUAUUUAUAUCUAUGUAUGAAUUCAAACUGGCCCAAUGGUUGUUUUCUUUGUACUAUCUGUGUUGUGACGCAUAACAUAAUUUUAGUAUGCAAAUAUUUUUCCUGGCUGAGCAUUGGGAUCAUGUACUGCUUAUCUGCAUUUCCAUCAUCUGUGCUUACAUUCACUUUGUUCUUAAUAGAAAAAGAGGAUCUCCAUUGUAUGCAUCUUGCUGCUGAAAAGGAGAUGAUGUUCUAAUGGCUGCCUCUUCUCAACAAAUUUAUUGUUGUGCAGGGGCCAAAUGUUUGCUAUGUUGGUCUGGCUUCUAAUGGUAUAUUGUAUGAGCUGUUGCAUACUUGGAUCAAGAGUAGAUGAGAAGGUGAGAACAUGCGUUUUAAUCUUCAGAGCCACCUGAAUUGCUUUGGUAUUUCUGUAUCUGCAAGGUAUGAUUGUCGUGCAAACUUGUCUUGUGAUAUGCAUGUAUCGUGAAUGGUGAACAGCCGUGCAAACUUUCCUUGUGCUAUGCAUGUAUAGUGAACGGUAAACGGCUGAGCCAGUUUGGUUUCUGCCUGUUAGUGUAGUGUCAUGUUAGAUGAAUUACAGUAUUAAUUUUUUUAGAGGUCACGGUUUUAUUGUUGCAAUAUUCUACCAUAUUUCAUGUGAUUUCUCUUGCAUUGAGUUCAAUUGGGAGCUGACAUGGAGUUCAGCCGGGACCUGACCAUAUUAUCAAGUUAUCUGAGAAGUGGUUUUUUUCUUUUAAAAUCUAACAACAAAUUCUGGCACUCAGAUGUCAUUGUAAAGGGCAGUGGAGUAUAGAGUUGAAGCUGUGGUACUAGAUGAGCACCUAUCCUCCGGCACCACCCACUGCCAACCACUUGCCAAAUCAAUCCAGUUUGUUCAUGCCAUUUAGGCCUCUGAACUAGAGGUACUAAGGAUGACCUAGGAAUAAUAGGAGAUACACAUCAGGCUUGCAACCGAAGAUUCAAUCCAGUCAGGGGACAAGAUUAUGACUCACACACUAUUUACGCAAGUGAUCGGGACCAGAAUGACAAAGAAUGACAAAGAUCCGGAGCCUUGGACAGGAGAAGAAACAUCUGAUCACUGGAAACACGAAUAAUCAGAGCACGUCCCUGUGUAUAGUGAUCUCACAUGUUUAGGCUUCAUGUCUGCCUCAAUAUAUCCUUAGUUAUUUAGUCACUGCUCCGUAUCUGAUCUAUGUAAUGCAUGUGAAUCAAUAUCAGCUUUGGUGUUUUCUAACCGUGCAGAGAAAUAGUCUAUUCGCUUCUGGACUUUUUUU